rnacentral:lncRNA from 1 species
AGUUGAGUAUUCUUUCUCAGAGCAGGCCUCUCUAUACCCCCACUUUUCGUGGUUAUUCCUGCAUUCUUUUGCGUUCUCCUUUCUUUUGGGAAAAUUUGCUAAACUUUUUUCCCAUGCUUAUAAAAUACUAUAUAUAUAUAUACAUGUAUAGCUUUAGAUAUUAGUAUAAAACUCCGACUGCUGACAUUUCUUUAGUGUUUCUUUGUUCUAUGGUACAUCCUAUAAUGCAUGGUCAGGAUGCAUCGGUAUCAGGUCUUGCAUUUUUCCAGUUGGUCGGACUUUAAAUAAGGAUAUUCGAUUUCAGCAGUCUCAAUAAUUUUUUGGGAAAAGAGGUAUCUGCUUUGGUGUACCUAAUUAAGGGGAGGUCACUAGUAAUUAUCUAGCUAGCUUCAAGCGUUUUGUUUGGUUAACCAACGCAAUCCUGAUUCCUGCGCAUGCAUGGUAGUAAUUGACUUCACUAAUUCUUAAAACUACAGAUGACAGAAAAUCUCAUGACGUACGGUUGAUGGUCUUGCAGGUUAAUUUGAUUGAUGCACAAAUGUUGUCGACAUGAGCGGAUGUGAUGCCAAGUCUCCAAUUUGUUAUCUCUUUCUCCUUUCUGUCUCCUUAUCACCCCUACCCCGAACCCUUCUUUUUCACUGCUUUCUUUUUCUCUUCUGUUUGCUUGGAAUUUGGAAGUGUUACUUUCGGCAUUAUUGUACACCCAUUCAUUAAAAUGAAACUGUAUUCAUGUGUGCUUUCGUAUUAUUGUGUCGUAGGCAAGGAAUUAAUUGAUGAAGAUGGAUGCUUUUAUCAGUUUAUUGUGGUUCCUCAGCUUUCCCAUUCAUUUUUCCUCUCGUAAAGGAUGCGUUUUAGCUGAUUGUACUCUUCUUUUUUGUUAGUCAAAUUUACCUGAUUGUACUCUGGCUAAACAGAAAUGCAUGCACGUACCAAUUAUGGAAUCGAUGGUACUUCAUUUCUGUUUUUGCUUUUGUAAGCGCUCCAAUGGGCGGGGGGAGAUGUGUAUCGUUAUACAAAUGUAUCGUUGCUGACAAAAAAAAAAAACACUCCAAUGGGCGGAGACGUGUACCAAUUACCAAUUAUUAUCA